GACAGAGGGUGCAAACGUUGUUCGGAAUUACUGGGCGUAAAGCGCGUGUAGGCUGUUCGGUAAGUCGGGUGUGAAAGCCCUGGGCUUAACCCAGGAAGUGCAUUCGAAACUCCCGAGCUGGAGUCCCGGAGAGGAAGGCGGAAUUCUCGGUGUAGAGGUGAAAUUCGUAGAUAUCGAGAGGAACAUCGGUGGCGAAGGCGGCCUUCUGGACGGUGACUGACGCUGAGACGCGAAAGCGUGGGGAGCAAACAGG
rnacentral:rRNA from 1 species